AGAGUUUGAUCCUGGCUCAGAACGAACGCUGGCGGCGUGGAUUAGGCAUGCAAGUCGAGCGAGAAAGCGACCUUCGGGUCGCAAGUACAGCGGCGAACGGGGGAGGAACGGGUGGGGAACCUGCCUCCGAGUGGGGGAUAACACUCCUAACGGGGUGCUAAUACCGCAUAACACUCUCGAACCGCAUGAGUUGAGAAUCAAAGGUAGCCUCUACUUGUAAGCUAGCGCCUGAAGAUGAUCCCGCGUCCGAUUAGCUUGUUGGUGAGGUAACGGCUCACCAAGGCGACUAUCGGUAGCUGGUCUGAGAGGAUGGUCAGCCACACUGGGACUGAGAUACGGCCCAGACUCCUACGGGAGGCAGCAGUCGAGAGGCUUCGGCAAUGGGGGAAACCCUGACCGAGCGACGCCGCGUGAGGGAUGAAGCCCUUCGGGGUGUAAACCUCUUUUCCAGGGGAAGAAACCUACGUGGUCCAAUAGGCCACGUGAUUGACGGUACCUUGGGAAUAAGCUCCGGCUAACUCCGUGCCAGCAGCCGCGGUAAUACGGGGGGAGCAAACGUUGUUCGGAAUCACUGGGCGUAAAGGGCGCGUAGGCGGCCCGGCAAGUGGUGUGUGAAAUGCCCUGGCUCAACCAGGGAACUGCGCCCCAAACUGCCGGGCUUGAGGGCAGUAGAGGAAACUGGAAUUCCUGGUGUAGCGGUGAAAUGCGUAGAUAUCAGGAGGAACACCAUUGGCGAAGGCGAGUUUCUGGGCUGUCCCUGACGCUGAGGCGCGAAAGCUGGGGGAGCAAACAGGAUUAGAUACCCUGGUAGUCCCAGCCGUAAACGGUGAACACUAGGUGUGGGGAGUAUCGACCCUCUCUGUGCCGUAGCUAACGCAUUAAGUGUUCCGCCUGGGGAGUACGGUCGCAAGGCUGAAACUCAAAGGAAUUGACGGGGGCCCGCACAAGCGGUGGAGCAUGUGGUUUAAUUCGACGCAACGCGCAGAACCUUACCUAGGUUUGACAUGCAUUGGACCGGUGUAGAAACACACCUUCCCUUCGGGGCCGAUGUACAGGUGCUGCAUGGCUGUCGUCAGCUCGUGUCGUGAGAUGUUGGGUUAAGUCCCGCAACGAGCGCAACCCUUGCCUUUAGUUGCCAGCAGGUUAAGCUGGGCACUCUAGAGGGACUGCCGGUGGUAAGCCGGAGGAAGGUGGGGAUGACGUCAAGUCCUCAUGGCCCUUACACCUAGGGCUACACACGUGCUACAAUGGGCGAUACAGAGGGUUCCGAUGCCGCGAGGUGGAGGCAAUCCCAAAAAGUCGUCCUCAGUUCGGAUUGCAGUCUGCAACUCGACUGCAUGAAGGUGGAAUCGCUAGUAAUCGCUGAUCAGCAGGCAGCGGUGAAUACGUUCCCGGGCCUUGUACACACCGCCCGUCAAGCCACGAAAGUUGGGGGUACCCGAAGUCCGUAUUCUAACCACUAGGAGGAAGCGGCCGAAGGUAAGACUGGCGAUUGGGGCUAAGUCGUAACAAGGUAACC
rnacentral:rRNA from 1 species